rnacentral:rRNA from 1 species
ACUCAAAGGAAUAGACGGGGACCCGCACAAGCAGCGGAGCAUGUGGUUUAAUUCGAAGCAACGCGAAAAACCUUACCAAGACUUGACAUCGCAUGACAGCCAUAGAGAUAUGGCCUCCCUUCGGGGCAUGUAGACAGGUGGUGCAUGGUUGUCGUCAGCUCGUGUCGUGAGAUGUUGGGUUAAGUCCCGCAACGAGCGCAACCCUUAUCAAUAGUUGCCAAUAUUAAGUUAGGAACUCUAUUGAGACUGCCGUGGAUAACACGGAGGAAGGUGAGGAUGACGUCAAAUCAUCAUGCCCCUUACGUCUUGGGCUACACACGUGCUACAAUGGCUAUUACAAAGAGCAGCAAGCAGGCAACUGUAAGCAAAUCUCAUAAAGAUAGUCUCAGUUCGGAUUGUGGGCUGCAACUCGCCCACAUGAAGUCGGAGUUGCUAGUAAUCCCGAAUCAGAACGUCGGGGUGAAUGCGUUCCCGGGUCUUGUACACACCGCCCGU